rnacentral:rRNA from 1 species
CUCCAACGAGCGCAAUGGACGAAAGUCUGACGGAGCAAUGCCGCGUGAGUGAAGAAGGUUUUCGGAUCGUAAAACUCUGUUGUUAGAGAAGAACAAGGAUGAGAGUAACUGCUCAUCCCCUGACGGUAUCUAACCAGAAAGCCACGGCUAACUACGUGCCAGCAGCCGCGGUAAUACGUAGGUGGCAAGCGUUGUCCGGAUUUAUUGGGCGUAAAGCGAGCGCAGGCGGUUCUUUAAGUCUGAUGUGAAAGCCCCCGGCUCAACCGGGGAGGGUCAUUGGAAACUGGAGAACUUGAGUGCAGAAGAGGAGAGUGGAAUUCCACGUGUAGCGGUGAAAUGCGUAGAUAUGUGGAGGAACACCAGUGGCGAAGGCGACUCUCUGGUC